ensembl:lncRNA novel transcript
GGAUCUCUUCCGGUUAUGGCGCCCGCUGGGAGUGUCUUAUCAGCCGCUUAUACCGCGGAAACUUUAACCUGCGUUUUCCCGUAAAAUUUUCCUCUCUAGAUUUUGAUUCAGAGUCAUCGAUGUCUUCACACCACCCUCUGUGGCAUGAACAGAGAUGGUAAUGAAGCAUUUCUUAGAAAACAAGGCUGGACCACUGUCUGUGUGAUUUCCACCUUUCUUGCUGACACCAUUCUGCAUGUUUUGAUUACCUCCAGGUCAAGAAGAGUGAGGAUAGCCUCUGUGUCUGAGGAGGUCCCUGUGCAUUAUGAGGAAUUGGUUCUAGGAAGAAGGGAGAGUGAAGAGGAACAGAGAGGACCCUCCAGAUCCAGUACGGGCCAACUAAGGGAACUUGGAUGCUCCUGUUCAUGUCCCUUUCUCCAUCACUGAGACUCGCCCCAUCCCACCCUGAAUGCAGGUUCCUUUCCCCUCGGUUAUUUUGUGCGUCUCAGAUGAUGACAUGUAUUGUAACUUUAUUCUAUCACAUAUGACUUUUACAUUAUAUCAUAGAAAAAGUUACUUACAUAAAUUACUUAAUGGUGGAUUAGUCAUAGUUAAAAUGUUGUCAGCUUGGUAAACAAAUGAAAUUAUCACACUUUAGUUUUUCUUCGUUGAUCAUUUAUGAAGAUUAGUGUCUCCUCAUUUCAUGGAUGUCACAACUACAUGUUCUUAAGUAAGGUGUAUGCUUGGGGUGUUGUGUUUUCCCUGUUAAUGUUGGAUACUCCAGUGUUCAGCAAACUAUAAACCUAUCAACACACAUUUGAAAAA